CCUACGGGUGGCUGCAGUGAGGAAUAUUGGUCAAUGGCCGGAAGGCUGAACCAGCCAUGCCGCGUGAAGGUCAGUGCCCUAUGGGCGUUUAACUUCUUUUGUGCGGGAGCAAUAAUGGUCACGUGUGGCCAGACGAGAGUACCGUACGAAUAAGCAUCGGCUAACUCCGUGCCAGCAGCCGCGGUUAUAAGGGGGAUGCAAGCGUUAUCCGGAUUUAUUGGGGUUAAAGGGGUCGUAGGUGGUGUUUUAAGUUCGCGGUGAAAAUUUGUGGCGCAACCAUAAGAUUGCCGUUGAAACUGGGAGACUUGAGUGUGUUUGAGGUAGGCGGAAUGCGUGGUGUAGCGGUGAAAUGCAUAGAUAUCACGCAGAACUCCGAUUGCGAAGGCAGCUUACUAAGCCAUAACUGACACUGAGGCACGAAAGCGUGGGGAUCAAACAGGAUUAGAUACCCUAGUAGUC
rnacentral:rRNA from 1 species